rnacentral:rRNA from 1 species
GUGAGGAAUAUUGGUCAAUGGAGGCAACUCUGAACCAGCCAAGUAGCGUGCAGGAUGACGGCCCUAUGGGUUGUAAACUGCUUUUAUGCGGGGAUAAACUGAGCCACGUGUGGCUUAUUGCAGGUACCGCAUGAAUAAGGACCGGCUAAUUCCGUGCCAGCAGCCGCGGUAAUACGGAAGGUCCGGGCGUUAUCCGGAUUUAUUGGGUUUAAAGGGAGCGCAGGCCGCCCCUUAAGCGUGUUGUGAAAUGCCGCGGCUCAACCGUGGCACUGCAGCGCGAACUGGGGGGCUUGAGUGCGCCGGAGGUAGGCGGAAUUCGUGGUGUAGCGGUGAAAUGCUUAGAUAUCACGAAGAACUCCGAUUGCGAAGGCAGCCUACCGUAGCGUUACUGACGCUGAGGCUCGAAGGUGCGGGUAUCGAACAGGAUUAGAUACCCUAGUGUCC